rnacentral:sRNA from 1 species
GUUUAGCCCGGAUUGUCGUGGAAAUAUAGCACUACAAAUUCUUAUGUUUUCCUGACUUAAAGAGCGACUAGCGGAAGCUCAUUUAAGGUAGAAAGAAAACAAAGAAUAUGGAGUGCGGUAUUGUAGCAAAAGCCGGAAACAGC